GUCGCGUCGUCCCUCAAGCUGUGUGUUUCCUCGUGUGCCUCGCCGUCAAGUCAUAAAAAGGAUUUGUCAGACAGACCUCAUUGGAUCCACCAAUACUCAGAACGCUACAGAUGAACAGAAUCAACUUUCUGGGAUUUCCUUACCUGAUGAUUGAGCGUGCAUGAAGACAACCUAAUGGAUUCUUUUUAAGUCAUGAAGAACUUUGUGCUUUAUUGUGAAAAAUCUUUCAUUUGUUUCAUUUUCAGACAAAUCAAAACUUCACUGUGAUGUUUUAGUGUCUGAAAUCAGGCUUCACUCAUCAACAGUUUUUAAAAUAUCCUUAAACUGAUAUAUUUUUUAAAGCUGUCAUUACUUUUCAAAGUGACCAUAGUGAAGAGCUUAAACU